CCGCUGAACAUAAGCAUAUCAAUAAGCGGAGGA
rnacentral:rRNA from 1 species